rnacentral:ncRNA from 1 species
AGUGAGUUUUAUUCUUGCUUUUUCAUUCAGUUUUUGUUUGUUCUAUAUGUAAGUUUUUGCAUGUAUAUCUUUUGGUUCUAGAUGGGUUAAUAUGGUAUUAUUUUAUUCUCAUUAGUUGUUAUUGGUUAAAUCAAGUUAUCUUGUAUCUAGUAAUACGUUAGAGUUUCGGUUAAAUUUUGUGCCAGCAGCCGCGGUUAUACCUUGGAAGCAUUUGAAUGUGUUUGGCUUUAAUUGGUAGUUAUAUUAUUUAUAUUUAUUAAGAUAUUUUUUGGAUUAUUGAAUAGGUGAAAUUUUUAUUUUUAGUUUUUAUCUUUUAUUUGUUUGGAGGCUAUGAAAUUCUUUUUAUAAACUAGGAUUAGAUACCCUAUUAUUUUGGAAUGUUAAGUUUUAUUUUGCCUGAGUAGUAUUAGUUAUGUUCUUGAAACUUAAAGAAUUUGGCGGUACCUCAUUCCUCCCAGAGGAAUCUGUCUCGUUAUCGAUAGUCCACGUUGGACCUUACUUGGAUUGCUUUUGGUUUGUAUACCGCCGUUUAUUGAUUAUCUUUUUAGAGUUUAAGUAAUUUUCUGGUCUCUUUAUUUUGAUUUAUUUCAGGUCAAGGUGCAGCUUGUUUCUAAGUGAAUGAUGGAUUACAUUAUUAUUUGUUUUUGGAUUGUUGAUUUAGAUAUUAACAUGAAAUUGGAUUUGGUUGUAAUGAUUUGUAGAUUGUUUUUAUGAUAGUGGUUCUGGGGUAUGUACACAUCGCCCGUCGCUCUCGUUCAAAAUUGUUAAUGAGAUAAGUCGUAACAAAGUGGUUGUACCGGAAGGUGCGACUGGAUUGAU